UACAGAGGGGGCAAGCGUUAUUCGGAAUUAUUGGGCGUAAAGGGCGCGUAGGCGGCUUUGCAAGUGACGGGUGAAAUCCCACGGCUUAACCGUGGAACUGCCUGUCAGACUGCAUGGCUUGAGACCAGGAGAGGUGAGUGGAAUUCCCAGUGUAGCGGUGAAAUGCGUAGAUAUUGGGAGGAACACCAGUGGCGAAAGGCGGCUCACUGGACCGGUACUGACGCUGAGGCGCGAAAGCGUGGGGAGCAAACAGG
rnacentral:rRNA from 1 species